AUUGAACGCUGGCGGCAGGCCUAACACAUGCAAGUCGAACGAGUGGCGGACGGGUGAGUAAUGUCUGGGAAACUGCCCGAUGGAGGGGGAUAACUACUGGAAACGGUAGCUAAUACCGCAUACCACAGGAUGUGCCCAGUUGGGCUUAGCUAGUGGGUGUGGUAACGGCUCACCUAGGCGACGAUCCCCAGCUGGCCUGAGAGGAGGACCAGCCACACUUGAACUGAGACACGGUCCAGACUCCUACGGGAGGCAGCAGUGGGGAAUAUUGCACAAUGGGCGCAAGCCUGAUGCAGCCAUGCCGCGUGUAUGAAGAAGGCCUUCGGAUUGUAAAGUACUUUCAGCGGGGAGGCGUUACUCGCAGAAGAAGCACCGGCUAACUCCGUGCCAGCAGCCGCGGUAAUUC
rnacentral:rRNA from 1 species